CAAGACGUAGCUUAAGCAAAAGCAUUCAGCUUACACCUGAAAGAUACUUGCUAACCACGAGUCGUCUUGA
rnacentral:tRNA from 1 species